ACUCAAGCAAGAAAGGACCAAACAAACGAAAUGAUGGCCCUUCAUUCAACAAACUACUCGAGAAACAAUGCCAUGGCACCCGCACAGCAAGCACGCUAUAAUGGACUGCUACAGCCUUCGCAGAGUAAUGCAAGAGUUGCCAGAACCUCUCGCCAACAACAAUAAGGACAAAGGCAAGGGCAAGAUGGAUGAAAUUGAAGACGGCGAAGACAAGUUCCAGACAGCGUCUAAAACUGUCAACGUUAUUUUUGGCAGAAUUCCAGGCACUGCCUCCAAGCGAUCCAACAAAUUAGUACUUAGAGAAAUCAUGGAUAUCGAACUAGCCACCCCCACACCUCGCAAAUGGUCUAAGGUACCCAUUACCUUC
rnacentral:lncRNA from 1 species